GCCUGUUAGCGGACUGGUCGUCCGAUCCAAGCUGAUAACUUGGCGUAAGCGGUGUUCGAUUCACCGAGCAGGUACCA
rnacentral:tRNA from 1 species